rnacentral:lncRNA from 1 species
UGUAGACAGUUUAAAUUCACUGUUUUUAGGGACAAGAUUGAGUUCACCUAGGAAGCUCUGAACAGUACAUUUUCAUCUUCUGAUUUCAAAUGUGUAGGGACAGUUCGUUAAAGAGGUGAAAGUGUUUUCAGUCUGGAGUUACCUUUCUGUUCUCUUCUUUUGCAGAUAUGAAGUGCAGAGACUCCCACUCAAGGCUUUCCAUUCUGUUUCCUGCAACAGCACACACUGAUGAUGUCUCGCCUGUUUUUUGGGAGGUUUUUUUUUUGGUACUGGGGGAUCAAACUCGGGACCUUCUGAUGGAAGGCGGUGAAACCGCUGAGCUAAAUCCCCGGCUCUCUUGCCUGUUUGGAAAUGGCUUGUGUUUUACUUUUAAUUCCUUGUCUCCCUAUCAAGACACAAGAAUCCCUUAGGGCGGGGGAUUUAGCUCAGUGGUUCCGCCGCCUGCCUCGCAAGCCCAAGGACCGGAGUUCGAUCCCCCGUACCAAAAAAAAAAAAAAAAGACAAAAGAAUCCCUUCUCACUUGGGAAAAAGCCAUUUAAAUCAUGUUGAAGGUGUGGUGUUUGGGGGAAAAAUGUGGAGCCUUUACAAUUGCUCUAUGUGGUUUUAACCUUGUUUUUUUUCUUUUAAUAAUUUUGGGUUGUUUUUUGCACUUUUGCUUUCAUAGUUAGAAAGCAGGAUACAAGUAUGCUUUCUACUGAUGUAUUUAUUUAAUAGCAAGAGAGACACUCCUGUGUAUGCUAUUGAAUCAAACAGAAGAGGAGGCCAGUGACUGUGUGAGAAUCUGAAUUUCAAAUCUGCAAAAGAAAGGUCCAAAAAGGUUUGGGCCCCAUGGGAUCCCCGUGACAGUAUUUCCCAAAAGGGAAUAUAAGGAUAAACCGGAAGCCAUGCAGCUCCCAAGUAAUACAUUCCAAGAAGGGACAGAAGUCAAGCUUGAGGCGAAUGGUGCUGUUCCCACUGACCCUUCUCCUGUCCCUGUCUCCCCUCCUGAGCCGAGUGUGGCGGAAAGUCUGUGGACGUCCAAACCACCACCUCUCUUCCACGCUGGAGCGCCUUACCCUCCCCCUUUGUUUAUCAGGGACACCUACAACCAAUCAAUACCUCAGCCCCCUCCUCGAAAAAUAAAGCGGCCCAAGCGAAAAAUGUACAGGGAAGAACCCACUUCGAUAAUGAAUGCUAUUAAGCUGCGACCCAGGCAAGUCUUGUGUGAUAAAUGCAAGAACAGUGUUGUUGCUGAGAAAAAGGAAAUCAGAAAAGGUAGCAGUGCAAGUGACCCUUCAAAAUAUGAAGAUAAAAAGCGGAGAAAUGAAAGUGUGGCUACUGUGAACAAAAAACUGAAAACUGAUCCUAAAGUGGAUGGGAAAAACCAAAACGAAAGCCAGAGAAGAAAUGCUGUGGUUAAGGUAUCAAGUAUUGCUCACAGUAGAGGCAGAGUAGUAAAAGUUUCUGCUCAGGCAAAUACAUCAAAAGCUCAGCUAAGUACUAAAAAAGUGCUCCAGAGUAAGAACAUGGAUCAUGCAAAAGCUCGGGAAGUAUUGAAAAUUGCCAAAGAAAAGGCACAAAAGAAGCAAAGUGAAACCUCUACUUCCAAAAAUGCACAUUCAAAAGUCCACUUCACACGGCGGUAUCAGAAUUCUAGCUCAGGUUCCCUCCCUCCUCGUGUUCGCUUAAAACCACAGCGGUACAGGAAUGAAGAAAAUGACUCCUCUCUGAAGACGGGACUCGAGAAAGUGCGGAGCGGCAAGGUGGCACCCAAGCCCCAGUCUCGCUGCACCUCCACCCGCUCAGCAGGUCAGUGGUCUGUGAAGAGGGAGUAACACAAAGGAUAAGCAAGACAGAAGCCAAGCGAAAACUUACAGACCAGGAAGCUGGCUGGUCAUUUGGAAGAGGCAUCCAGUUAACUAUUUACAGAUGCGGAACCCAAGACCUAGAAGACAGGAGUGAGGUAGCUGGGGAGACUGGGGUUCACUAGGCUGCAGUCUUUGCAAGAAUUGGUGGUGUGUCCUUACCUGAGAGGGAGCGUGUGAGUGUGUCUGUGUGUGUUUGUUUUGUUUCUUUGAGACAGGGUCUUACCUUUUUUUUUUUUUUUUUUUUGGUAUGAGGGAUCAAAUUUGGGUCCUUGCACUUGUGCAGCAGGUGGCGAAACCACUGAGUUAAAUCCCCAGCCAUGGGUUGACUUUUAACAAAAGGGUUUGGUCAGGUAUGGUGCACACCUGGAAUCUCAGCACUAGGGAGGCUGAAGCAGGAGCAUUACUUUGAAUUCAAGGCCAGCCUGGGAUAUGGGCUAGAUAGUGAGUUCCAGGUCAGUCUUAACUACACAGUGAGACCCUGUCUCAGAAAAACAAGAAAAAAUUUAGGUAUCUUAACUGAAGAAGUUUUGUCCAGUCAAUUAAUGUAUUUGUUAUGUAUCGGAAAUGUACUAAUAAAGAUUUAUGUCUAGCGAUGGUCUCCAGUAAGUGAUUUGCCAGAGACAAUGAAGACUCAUUUUCUACGUUGGGGCAAAUUAACUUUUUGCUUUGACAUUGUAGUAAUAUUACAGCUAUUAACAGUCUUCAAAGAAAUGCCUGAUAUAGGGAAACAGUAAGCUGCAUUCAUUGUUGCUGGCUAUGAGUUCCUACUCAAGAGCUUCUUCAUAUUCUCUUUACAGCUAUGUGCACUUGCUGUAUUCCUUCAGCUAAGUUUGUGUAGAAUUAAAAAAUGAUACCAUUAGCAAUUAGCAUAUUCUAUUAUGCUAUUUGUUUUACUUUGGUUUCUUUUGAGACAGUCUCACUAUGUAGUUCAGGCUGGCCUCCAACUCGCAGUAAUCCUCCUGUCUCAGCCUCUGGAGUUCUGAGAUCACAGGUGUGUGCCACCAUGCCGGGCUUGUUUAAUUUUGAGGCAAGGUCUCCCUGUGUAUGCGUUGCACUCACUAGGUGCUAGCACAGGCUGGGCUCAAAUUCAUGAUCCUCCUGCCACAGCAUGGGAUUACAGGCAAGCGCUGCCACACCCAUCUUUGUAUAAUCUUUUUGAUAACAUCUUUUAAAUUUUCAAUGCUCUUUUUUUUUUUUUUUUCUUUUUUGGUACUGGGGAUGGAACUCGGGACCUUGUGCUUGAGAGGCAGGCACUGGAACCACUGAGCUAAAUCCCUGGCCCACGAUGCUCUUGUUCUAGAAGGUAAUGGAAAUUAAGCCACAACAGAACUGCCCACUUGUAAAACUUACAUGAUUUAGUGUAAUUGUAUUUGCCAAGAGUAGGUUUUAAUUAAAACUAUCCUCUUCCAAUAAUAAAAACAAUCUUUUGGACCUUUUUUUCUUGGUACUGGGAAUCAAACUUGGGCCCUUGUGCUUGUCAGGCAGGCGGAGUGCCACUGAGCUAUAUCCCAGGCCCUGGAGCAUUUGAUGAAUAUGGAAACCAUUUAUUGUAGUACUAAAUUUGAGUUACUAGCUAAAACUCAAGUUAUUUACAUUCCAUCAUAGUAUUUAUCAAAUUUUUGUAAUAGCGUGCUAUUUAUUGGCACGCCCCCCCCCCCCCGCUUGCAGUACUGGGGACUGAACCCAGGGCCUUCCCACUGGGCUGCGUCCCCUGCCCCUUUUUUUCUUAUUUUGAGACAGUCUUGCAAAUUGCCUAGAUUGGGUUUGCACUUGAGGUCCUCCUGCCUCCCCCUCCCGGAGUGCUGGCCUUACAGGAGCGCAGCACCAAGCUGGGCUUCUAGUCAAAUUCUGAUUAACUUAAAUAGUUUCUAUAAAUUACUGUUAUUCUGGGGGGGAGGUGUAAAGGAAAAAGAUUAUACUCUCAAAUCCUGAAUUUCAGCGUCAUACUCUUGCAGCUGAAUAACCUGGAACAGUAUAGUGCAUGUUGCCUAACUUCAGAACCUUUUCCUUUGAACACAUUUUUUUUGUAACAGUUUCAUAAAGCUUUGAUGCUAAAUACAAGACCAGUCUUAAAACAUAGUUUAAACAUGAAUUAAAUAUUUUUGUUCAAAUUCCUGAGAAUUUUGUUAGAUUUUUUUUUUUUAAAGCUGUAAUUUUAGUCAUCUAUGUAGAAUCUUCCCUUCAUCAAAAGUGUAUGAAUGAGUUUCCUCCUUACAUUCCUCGGAAGUCUGAGUCUAGUUGGGAAUUUAGCACAGUGGUGCUGCGCCUGCCUUGUAAGCAAAAGUGCAAGGUCCUGAGUUUGAUCCCUGGAACAAAAAAAAAAAAAAAAAAAAGAAGUCUGACUCUGAACCAGAAACCAUGAAUAAAACACACUUUUUUCUAUCCUGGGGUCAGUAGGUGGAAGGAAAGCCAAUUUUUUCAUAGUUGACAUUGUAGGCUUUUAUGGUUAUACGUUUUUUCCUUUCCUUGAAAGUUGAAAAAAUACACAGCAAGUGUUAGUAAGGGGCUUUUUCCUUUAAGAUAGUUUUGUAACCUGUGUCCCUCAUUUAGUUGUCUCCAGCACGAAUACUCCCUUAACACCUAUUGAAAGCCUGCAGUCCCUGGGCCACCUGGGUACUCUAGGCGACUGAGGUGGGAGGAUUGCAACUUUAAGCCCAGCCUGGGCAAUUUAUAGAGUUGGGAAGAACCUGUCUUAAAAAAUAAAGGGCUGGGGAUGUGACUCAGUGGGAAGACUCUUGGUUUAAUCCUUGCUAUAAGAAAAGAAAAAUUAUUGAAGUAGAAUUUUGCCUGGUUCUGGCGCCUGCCUCCCAAGCGCAAGGCCGCCCCAAGUUCGAUCCCCGGUACCAAAAAAAAAAAAAAAAGAAUUUUUUCCCAAGAUAAAAUACGAUGGAAAUUUCUGGUUGUCCAGAUUGUCUUUGUAGAAAUGUGAGAGCAUCUCCCAGUUGAGUAUAAAAAGAUCACCGAGGAUACCUAAAGCCGGGCAUUCUCAGAAGCUGAGGCAGGAAUAUCACAAAUUUGAGCCCAGCUUGGGCAACUUAGUGACUUGGUGACCCCCGCCCCAGUGUCUGGGGAUAUCGCUCAGUGUGAAGGCCCUGGGUUCUGUCCCCAACACCUGGGGGCGGGGCCAGGGCCGGGGCAGGGUGGUGGGGUGUGUGGGUGCACUUGUGGGUGGGUAACUUAAUAUUGCAGGGCAGUUGCAACAUUAGCAAGUUUGCAUCCGCAGUGAGAGCUUUUAACAAGUGAAGAAUCGUUCUUUCACUGAGCCACAUGGUUGGAAGUACAAGCUCUUGAGCCAGAUACCCUAAAGUCGGAGCCUGCCUGGGAUCUGCCACGUAAAAGCAUUGUGACUUAGGCGGGCUACCUCUGUCACCACCCGUGGAAUGGAAGAAUCAGGAGGAUAAUAGUCCUUCCUCGUAAG